CAUAGCUCAAUGGCAGAGCAUUCGACUGUUAAUCGAAGGGUUGCUGGUUCGAGUCCAGCUG
rnacentral:tRNA from 3 species